CGAGGCCAUGCAAGGACAUUCACCUUUUUCUCCUUCAACCACUGUGUGGUCGGUUUUGCUGUGAGCUUUGAGUCAUUGUCAUGUUAGGAGGUAAACUUCCCACUGACAACUUUCUGGCAGAGGGCAGCACACACAAUGAGCACUUUUUGUCAUAGGCCUCUUGGUCACCUCUCUGAGCAGUUUUCUCCUGGCUCUUUCAUCCAGUUUGGAGCGAUGUCCUAAUCCAGGCGUUCAAGGCGUCGAUUUGCAGCUUUCAUGAUGCGAAGUGCAGAAGUAAACCAGGGUGAUAUGUGCAUAGAAGAGAACUUGGAAACCCAGACCUGUUUCAGAGAGGUCAACAGGCCACACGAAGACAACGGUUUAAAUGUCUUAAAGGAGCCAUCAUUGAAAAGAAGUAUUAGCAGAGUAGGAGUAAGUUUGAAUGUCUCUAGUCAUUUUGAUAGUUAUGAAGAAAUAACUCAUAUAUAGAUCUGAGGACUACGUUAAGUUACAGUCUGCCCAAGAUGUAUUAAAAGGUGCAUCAAAUACGUUCUUUCUUUCUUUCUUUCUUUCUUUCUUUCUUUCUUUCUUUCUUUUUAAUUAAUUGGGUACUAGUUUCACAGGCAAUUGUUAUAUUUUCUAAACAUUCAUUAGGUUUGUGUCUUUGAAAUCUUAUUUUUAUGCCAAACAAGGAAAAAGACAGACAAUAUCAUCUGUGCUUGGAUGUGGCAAAAAAGGGUAGAACGCAUGUGGUUUACAUUAUAAUACAAUUUUGAUAAAAUGCAUAUCUGUGUCUGCAUUUGUAAACAACUGUUUUUGAGAUUAAACCUGCAGAGAAAAUGUCUCCCGCCCUCAUGUGGCUGUGAGAUGAAUUUGCGAUGAAUUUGAGAUGAGAUCAUUUUCCAACACGCGCGAGGUAAGAUCACGUAUAUUAAACUGACAGUGAACAAAAUCUCUAGGAGCAAAUAAAUACAAAAGAGAACUCAAACCUGUAAUAUGAACACAUUCUUUUGCACAUUGCCAGCAUUUGAAGUCUUCUAAGAAAUCCAAAAAGAUCUGGCAUGGUUAAUUCUGUGGGUUUCUAUUUGUAUACAUAUUUAAUUUUACACACCCUGAAGUCGCUUCAAACACACAUCUUUCUCUCUGUGUGCAAAGCAGAAUUAAAUCAUGUGAUCUGUUAGGUUAAUUAUUUUACAGCUAUAGAACCAACCUGCCAUAUUUUACUGAGGGUUUUUUGAUGCAUUUUUUCUUCCAUUCUCUGCAUUGUAUCACCCAGCACUUUUUCUUCAGUGAUAAACUCCUUUAUCUUUGUCUCCUGACGUGCGUUUGUUUUUCUGUCUGUGCGUGUGAGAUGGAGAGAGUUUAGCAAGGCCCAAGGGACUGAAACUCUGCCAGAAAUGUAAGGAGAGUGAAGGAAUCGGACCAUUCACGGAGUGAGAAAGUAAAAAUGAGUUGUGUGAGUGCCAGACUUCUUCCCUGAUGGAUUCAUUUGGGAGAGCUCCAUCCUCAUCUGGAAGGCUGUCAGGUCCCAGCAGAGGUUUUAUUGGGUGACAAGCAUUGUGUUGGCUGUCUCCUUACAGCCCUGGAUGCAGCCCAAAACUGUUGCUCAACGCAGAAGAAGACAAAGUUUGCUUCUUAGUCCUGUGAAAUAUGUUGAACUCUGGAACUCAGUCUUUUAUGUAGUGUAUGUGUGCGCAUUUUAUCUUAAAAGUUGUUUUCUAUCAACUUUUAAGAAUGGAAUGAAGGACCUUCCCUUUUCAUGCUUUAAACAUUACAAAUAAAUAGAAUUAC
ensembl:lncRNA